UCCAGACUCCUACGGGAGGCAGCAGUGAGGAAUAUUGGUCAAUGGGCUUACGCCUGAACCAGCCAAGUCGCGCGAGGGAAGACUGCCCUAUGGGUUGUAAACCUCUUUUGUCAGGGAGCAAUUGGCGCUACGUGUAGCGUUAUCGAGAGUACCUGAAGAAAAAGCAUCGGCUAACUCCGUGCCAGCAGCCGCGGUAAUACGGAGGAUGCGAGCGUUAUCCGGAUUUAUUGGGUUUAAAGGGUGCGUAGGCGGGACCUUAAGUCAGCGGUAAAAUUGCGGUGCUCAACGCCGUAGAGCCGUUGAAACUGGGGUUCUUGAGUGAGCGAGAAGUAUGCGGAAUGCGUGGUGUAGCGGUGAAAUGCAUAGAUAUCACGCAGAACCCCGAUUGCGAAGGCAGCAUACCGGCGCUCAACUGACGCUGAGGCACGAAAGUGCGGGUAUCGAACAGGAUUAGAUACCCCCGUAC
rnacentral:rRNA from 1 species